rnacentral:ribozyme from 15 species
CUGUAUCUCUCAAUUUCUCCUUUUUUUUUUUUUUUUUUUUUUUUCGUGAUCCUUCUGC